CCCCCCGGAGGACAUUCCAAGUGACCCCGGUCUAACCACCGGGGAUGUUCAUAACCCUUUGUUGUCCGACUCUGUUGCCUCCGGGGCGACCCUGCCUUCGGGCGGGGGCUCCGGGUGGACACUUCAAACUCUUGCGUAACUUUGCAGUCUGAGUAAACUUAAUUAAUAAAUUAAAACUUUUAACAACGGAUCUCUUGGUUCUGGCAUCGAUGAAGAACGCAGCGAAAUGCGAUAAGUAAUGUGAAUUGCAGAAUUCAGUGAAUCAUCGAAUCUUUGAACGCACAUUGCGCCCCCUGGUAUUCCGGGGGGCAUGCCUGUUCGAGCGUCAUUUCACCACUCAAGCCUCGCUUGGUAUUGGGCAACGCGGUCCGCCGCGUGCCUCAAAUCGACCGGCUGGGUCUUCUGUCCCCUAAGCGUUGUGGAAACUAUUCGCUAAAGGGUGUUCGGGAGGCUACGCCGUAAAACAACCCCAUUUCUAAGGUUGACCUCGGAUCAGGUAGGGAUACCCGCUGAACUUAAGCAUAUCAAUAA
rnacentral:misc_RNA from 1 species